rnacentral:rRNA from 1 species
CAGCUGCCGCGGUAAUACGUAGGUGGCAAGCGUUAUCCGGAAUUAUUGGGCGUAAAGCGCGCGUAGGCGGUUUUUUAAGUCUGAUGUGAAAGCCCACGGCUCAACCGUGGAGGGUCAUUGGAAACUGGAAAACUUGAGUGCAGAAGAGGAAAGUGGAAUUCCAUGUGUAGCGGUGAAAUGCGCAGAGAUAUGGAGGAACACCAGUGGCGAAGGCGGCUUUCUGGUCUGCAACUGACGCUGAUGUGCGAAAGCGUGGGGAUCAAACAGGAUUAGAUACCCCAGUAGUCCCUGUCUCUUAUAC